rnacentral:rRNA from 1 species
GGCGCAGGCGGCUGGCUAAGUCCUGUGUGAAAUCCCACGGCUCAACCGUGGAAAGCCACAGGAUACUGGCGAGCUAGAGACGGGUAGAGGCGAGUGGAAUUCCCGGUGUAGCGGUGGAAUGCGUAGAUAUCGGGAAGAACACCAGUGGCGAAGGCGACUCGCUGGGCCCGUUCUGACGCUCAGGCCCGAAAGCGUGGGGAGCAAACA